UGAAUACGAGACGCUAAGGCGUCGAAGUAGUGUAUGUCAUACUUCCAAGAAAAGCUUGCACUGUCAUAGAUAAAAAACGCCUGUACCAUAACCGACACAGGUGGGUAGGUAGAGUAUACUAAGGGGCGCGAGAUAACUCUCUCUAAGGAACUCGGCAAAAUAACUCCGUAACUUCGGGAGAAGGAGUGCCUUAUUCGUAAGGUUGCAAUAACAAGAUCCAAGCAACUGUUUAUCAAAAACACAGGUCUCCGCUAAGUCGUAAGACGAUGUAUGGGGGCUGACGCCUGCCCAGUGCCAGAAGGUUAAAGAAGUUGGUUAGCAAUUGCGAAGCUGAUAACUGAAGCCCUGGUGAACGGCGGCCGUAACAAUAACGGUCCUAAGGUAGCGAAAUUCCUUGUCGGGUAAGUUCCGACCCGCACGAAAGGCGUAAUGAUUUGGAUACUGUCUCGGAGAGGGGCUCGGUGAAAUAGACUUGUCUGUGAAGAUGCGGACUACCUGCACCAGGACAGAAAGACCCUAUGAAGCUUUACUGUAACUUGAAAUUGAAAUUGGACUUUAUUCGCGCAGUAUAGGUGGGAGGCGUUGAUUAUAAUCUUGUGGGAUUAUUGGAGCCAUCAGUGAGAUACCACUCUUGUAAUGUUAGAUUUCUAACUUUGAAUCAUUAUCUGGUCAAAGAACAGUUUCAGGCGGGCAGUUUGACUGCGCGGUCGCCUCCUAAACGGUAACGGAGGCUUACAAAGGUUUCCUCUGAACGGUUAGAAAUCGUAUCUAGAGUGUAAAGGCAUAAGGAAGCUUGACUGUGAGACCUACAAGUCGAGCAGGGACGAAAGUCGGUCUUAGUGAUCUGACGGUACUGAGUGGAAAGGCCGUCACUCAACGGAUAAAAGUUACUCUAAGGAUAACAGGCUGAUCUCCCCCAAGAGUUCACAUCGACGGGGAGGUUUGGCACCUCGAUGUCGGCUCAUCGCAUCCUGGGGCGGUAGUACGUCCCAAGGGUUGGGCUGUUCGCCCAUGAAAGCGGUACGCGAGCUGGGUUCAGAACGUCGUGAGACAGUUCGGUCCAUAUCCGGUGUAGGCGUUAGAAUAUUGAGAGGAGCCUUCUUUAGUACGAGAGGACCGAGAAGGACAUACCUCUGGUGUACCAGUUAUCGUGCCAACGGUAAACGCUGGGUAGCUAUGUAUGGAGUGGAUAACCGCUGAAAGCAUCUAAGUGGGAAGCCCACCUCAAGAUAAGUAUUCUCAUC
rnacentral:rRNA from 1 species